rnacentral:rRNA from 1 species
GAUGAACGCUAGCUACAGGCUUAACACAUGCAAGUCGAGGGGCAGCGGGAUUGAAGCUUGCUUCAAUUGCCGGCGACCGGCGCACGGGUGAGUAACGCGUAUCCAACCUUCCGUACACUCAGGGAUAGCCUUUCGAAAGAAAGAUUAAUACCUGAUGGUAUGAUGAGAUUGCAUGAUAUCAUCAUUAAAGAUUUAUCGGUGUACGAUGGGGAUGCGUUCCAUUAGGUAGUAGGCGGGGUAACGGCCCACCUAGCCAACGAUGGAUAGGGGUUCUGAGAGGAAGGUCCCCCACAUUGGAACUGAGACACGGUCCAAACGCCUUCGGGAGGCAGCAGUGAGGAAUAGUGGUCAGUGGACGAGAGUCUGAACCAGCCUAGUAGCGUGAAGGAUGAAGGUCCUACGGAUUGUAAACUUCUUUUAUAAGGGAAUAAACCCUCCCACGUGUGGGAGCUUGUAUGUACCUUAUGAAUAAGCAUCGGCUAACUCCGUG